UACAGAGGUCUCAAGCGUUGUUCGGAUUCAUUGGGCGUAAAGGGUGCGUUGGCGGCGUGGUAAGUCGGGUGUGAAAUCUCGGAGCUUAACUCCGAAACUGCAUUCGAUACUGCCGUGCUUGAGGACUGGAGAGGAGACUGGAAUUUACGGUGUAGCGGUGAAAUGCGUAGAUAUCGUAAGGAAGACCAGUGGCGAAGGCGGGUCUCUGGACAGUUCCUGACGCUGAGGCACGAAGGCCAGGGGAGCAAACGGG
rnacentral:rRNA from 1 species